GACUCGUCCAUAAAGCUCAGAGCCGUCCAUGUUGUCCAUGGCGGCGGCGGCGUCUUCUUUCUCGAGGAAGGUGACGAAGCCGAAGGAACGGUGCUUCUGAGUGGCUUGAUCUAGCGGCGUCUUCACAUCCUUGAUGUCUCCGAAAGGUAUGAAAGCGGCGUGCAGUAUCGCCUCGUUCACUUCCUCUGCCAGACCACCCACAUACAGCGUGUUCUUCUGCACUGCCUGCUGCGCUGCCAUUCUCUCUUUCUUUUCUUCGUCGGCUCCGCUAUACCAGGGAGGUAUCAUUUCUUCCCGUUUACAAGCUACUAUUUUACCUCUCCUCAGCUUAGGCCCAUAUGGCCCAGUAGUGAUAAUUUUUUUUUUUUUUUAAUAAAUAUAACAUUAUUUUCAGGUCAUAGAUCCUCUUAAUAUUACUAAAUGAUUGAUUAAAAAAGCUUAAAAUAUUAAUUUUAAUAAUAAUUUAUAAAUAUUAAAUAAAACUUUGCAAUGUUGAAAUUCAAUUUAAACACAAUGCUGGAAGGAUCUUUUUAUUGUUUGGAAUUUUUUGUAUUGCAAUGUCUAAGAUAGUAUUACGCAAUAAAACUCUAAAACGAACCUGGCGGAGUAUGUUGUUAUAGGCGAGCUAGGGGGAAUCUCUUGCUCAGAAAUAAUGGCGUCGUCAUAUUUAGCUAUGGAAGUGAGCCAAUGCAGCAUUUGAUCUUGGUGAAUCACCAAUUGUACAGUUAAAUAUAAAAGACAUUGUUGGUAAAAGCCACUUCUUGCUCUUGCUGGCUUGUUUCUCCAGUGACUCUAGCGAUGGGCGACUCCUCAUUUUUAUUCUUCUUAUUAGCAAAUUUUUGAAGAUGUCAGAUUUAGUUAGAAUUUUAUACCAUAAAACAAUAACACUUGAUAACUUUUGUUAAGAGAGCUCGAGACUUCCUCAAGAUUCCACGUCAUUGACACUCGAUUUUAUACUGUUGAUACUUCUAAGAAAGUGUGAGCUCUAGACUAAGAUGCAGAGGAGAGAACAAAGAAGCAAAAGAAUGAGCCCUAGCAAUUUCCAGUUUCGGGUUUAACCCAUUAAAAUGAGUGUAACAUGACAUCGUCAGAUAACCAACCACCUGUGUCAAUUUUUGCAUUUGAUUUAAUUUUUAUGUCACGUCAUCACCAUGUCUAAAAUCUUCCAACGGCAUUAGUUAACUUGAAUGGAUGGAGAUUUAUUUGUUUCAGUUCAAAGCUUUUGGGCUAACAUGAACCAAAAGAGUACAUAACAAUUUUUAAAUAUUUUGAGAAAAAUUUGGUAUUUUAGCCUGAGAUAUUAAAAGCUAUGCUGCAUCGUUCCUCAUCAUGUGAUUAAGGGAAAAAUUAUGUCCAACCAAACCCAAAAUCUAAAAUCCCUUUCAAGUUUUUGGAACAGUAAUCUCUAUCCUUCUAAUUAUUCAAGAAUCCUGAGAAAUAAUUACUCCUUUGGAGCUUCUAAUUAUUCAAAAUUUGUCACAACAAUUUUUCUUUCCCAUGCAGCCAAUAAUGGAAAUUUUCAGUUGCUUCCCUUCUUUCGUAAAUACAUGAAGCCAAUCCCCACUGAGAUGCUGAGAAUGCCCACAGGAACAGCCCAGUACUGCUUUGACAACUCCACAAGUUCCUUGAAAUACUCUGUUGGCUGGUUCUUG
rnacentral:lncRNA from 1 species